ACUCCUACGGGAGGCAGCAGUGGGGAAUAUUGCACAAUGGGCGCAAGCCUGAUGCAGCCAUGCCGCGUGUGUGAAGAAGGCCUUCGGGUUGUAAAGCACUUUCAGUCGUGAGGAAGGUAGUGUAGUUAAUAGCUUGCUGNAUUUUGACGUUAGCGACAGAAGAAGCACCGGCUAACUCCGUGCCAGCAGCCGCGGUAAUACGGAGGGUGCGAGCGUUAAUCGGAAUUACUGGGCGUAAAGCGCAUGCAGGUGGUUUGUUAAGUCAGAUGUGAAAGCCCGGGGCUCAACCUCGGAAUUGCAUUUGAAACUGGCAGGCUAGAGUCUGUAGAGGGGGGGUAGAAUUUCAGGUGUAGCGGUGAAAUGCGUAGAGAUCUGAAGGAAUACCG
rnacentral:rRNA from 1 species